UUGACCUCAAAUCGGGUGAGACUACCCGCUGAACUUAAGCAUAUCAAUAAGCGGAGGAAAAGAAACUAACAAGGAUUCCCCUAGUAACUGCGAGUGAAGCGGGAAAAGCUCAAAUUUAAAAUCUGGUGGUUUUUGGCCAUCC
rnacentral:rRNA from 1 species